AUUAUAAUCCAUGAUCUCAUGUGUCGCUGCCAGCUAAUGAGUCUAGGAAACAAGCAUAGCAUGAGCAUCGCACUUUUUUUUUAUGUGGAAUAAUAUCAUCACAUAGGUAACUAAGGCCCUGGGUUAAUAUUCCGAGUCCACUGCUCACUUGCAUAACAUUAUUGAGCAAAUAACAUAAUUACCCUAAACUUCAAUGUCCUGUGAGUAAAGUGGAAUUAAUGAUGGUGUCUACCUCACAGGAUGGUUGUGAUCUCUGAAUACAAUCUUAUCAAGUAUUAAUUUAAUAUUAAUUAAUAUUUAAUUGAAAUAUGGUAUGUAGUGUGUAGUGGGUACUUUAAUAAUUCUUAGCUGUUUUUAUCAUUAUUUUAAAAUCCUAUUAAUGCCUAGAAAAAUAUAACUUUAAAAAGUAAAAAAGAGGAGUAAACGUAAAGUAAGCAAAGAGGAGUACAGCUUUUUAAUGGGCUUCUUCCCCUCCCUGCGUGCCCCUCUGCAGAAUGCGAUAAGUUGCGGCAUGAUGGCUACCGCAGUUCUCAGUACUACUCUCAGGGACCCACCUUUGCGGCCAACGCCAGCCCAUUCUGUGAUGAUUACCAAGACGAAGAUGAAGAAACAGAUCAAAAGGUAAGCUUCAAAGUUCAACACGGGGUCCUGGGUUGGGUCCCAGAACAGAGAAAGGAUAUAUGUGGACAAACUGGUAAAAUCAAAAUUGAGCCUGUAUUUUAAUCAAUAGUAUUGUCUCAAGUGAAUUUCUUGGUUUUGACAAACCCAGCCUUCCUCCCAAUUCUGUAUAUGGGAAAACAACUAAGGCACAAAGGUUGUCUUCCCGCAAAAGACCAAGACUUGGGGCUUCAACUGAGAGGU
rnacentral:lncRNA from 1 species